rnacentral:rRNA from 1 species
UACGUAGGGGGCUAGCGUUGUCCGGAAUCAUUGGGCGUAAAGAGCGUGUAGGCGGCCCGGUAAGUCCGCUGUGAAAGUCGGGGGCUCAACCCUCGAAUGCCGGUGGAUACUGUCGGGCUAGAGUGCGGAAGAGGCGAGUGGAAUUCCUGGUGUAGCGGUGAAAUGCGCAGAUAGUCGGGAGGAACACCUAUGGCGAAGGCAGCUCGCUGGGACGUUACUGACGCUGAGACGCGAAAGCGUGGGGAGCAAACAGG